AUAACGGCCCUUUUUAGGGCCACCCACAUUAUGAUAUACUCGUUUU
rfam:Opisthorchis viverrini opera_v5_51.89, whole genome shotgun sequence.